rnacentral:misc_RNA from 1 species
AUCUUGCCAGCUCCUUUUAAAUGUAUUAGCAGGACUUUGCAGGACUAGCUUCAGUUUGAUACAUUUUCGUUAUCUGAGCUGUUGCAGGGGAUUGCAUCAUGGUCAUGCUUCUCGAAUUGUCCCUCGUGGACUUUGUCUUCUGGACAAAUUAUAAUAUCAAACUUGACCUCAAAUCAGGUAGGACUACCCGCUGAACUUAA